CAGCCGCCGCGGGAAUACGAAGGGUGCAAGCGUUACUCGGAAUUACUGGGCGUAAAGCGUGCGUAGGUGGUGGUUUAAGUCCGUUGUGAAAGCCCUUGGCUCAACCUGGGAAUUGCAGUGGAUACUGGAUCACUAGAGUGUGGUAGAGGAUAGUGGAAUUUCCGGUGUAGCAGUGAAAUGCGUAGAGAUCGGAAGGAACAUCUGUGGCGAAGGCGACUAUCUGGGCCAACACUGACACUGAGGCACGAAAGCGUGGGGAGCAAACAGGAUUAGAUACCCCGGUAGUCCCUGUCUUUUAUAA
rnacentral:rRNA from 1 species